GACCGCGUAGCUCAGUUGGCAGAGCAUUGGGCGAGUAUUCCAAAGGUCGUAGGUUCGAUUCCCACCGUGGUCA
rnacentral:tRNA from 1 species